UUGUGUAGAGGCAAGAAAUAUGCUGUAUUCACUCUUGGUAUAUUUCUCGCCUCUACCAAUU
ensembl:miRNA mdo-mir-7398r mdo-mir-7398r